AAUAAGUGUAGCCAUAAGUUUCCGUGCUCAACUUUGAUCGUCCGUCUUAUUUGAAAUUUUUUUAUAAUUAGCAUUUUUGUUAUUAUGAGAUGAUAAAAUAUAAAUAGUACUUUACUCGUGACUUAUGUUUUUAAUUUUUUUUCAAAAAAAUUUUAAAUAAGACGAAUGGUUAAAGUUGGGCGCAAAAAAUCAUGGCUGCACUUAUU
rfam:Oryza nivara chromosome 5, whole genome shotgun sequence.